UUUAAAGGGUUACAAGUUUGAUUCGAUAAAUGGAUUGCAGAUAAGUGUCCCUUUCUUCCAAAACUAUUUUUGGUGUUACAAGUUUAGAUUAUGAUGUUUUGCACUUGGCUUGGACUGCAAAUACUCAAGUUGUUUAGAUGGUUCUUUCAUGUGGUGUUGAUGGUUCAGGUUCAACUUUGAGAUAUCCUAUGACCCACAUGGCACAUGGCAUAUGACCCGUGGUUCGUGGCCCGUUUCAGGAGGAUGGUUUUGAUAAAUUAAACGUGAGAAUUGAGAUUAUGGCUGCAAUAAACAGUUUAACCAUAACAGUUUGGAAUUGCAAAUGACUAGCUGCAGAAACGAAGACGAAUCCAUAGACCAUGAUUUCACUUGUCUUACAGCCGCGAAUGUUUGGCAGCACAUCAGCUCCUGGCGCAAAUCACUCAGAUGCAUUUCUUCUCCGUUAAAGAUAUAUUUGAUUAUCAUAAGCUCUUACCAGAUCAAAGCAGCAAGAGACGGCUCAUGCAAGUGGUUUUGUUGGUCUCUUGCUGGUAUAUUUGACGGGCCAGGAAUAGGUGUAUAUUUUGGGGGAGAUCAAUUUUUGUAGUUACUUGUGGAUUUGCAAUCAGUCAAAGAAGUUGGGUCUAGAUUGGACCAACUGGAAGUGUUUUGAUGUGUAAUUUUGUUUGUUAGCUGUAGUUGUUUUGCUUUGCAUUAGGUUGGUUUCUAAUGAAAGUCGUCGUUCGAAAAAAAAAUUGUUUGGAUAAUGGCUGCCAAAAAACAUGUGCAGGCUAUUUUGAACAAUAAUCAUUGAGCAAGUUGUUUUGAACCAACUGUUUGCGUAAUCA